AGUGAACGCUGGCGGUAGGCCUAACACAUGCAAGUCGAACGGCAGCACAGUAAGAGCUUGCUCUUACGGGUGGCGAGUGGCGGACGGGUGAGGAAUACAUCGGAAUCUACUUUUUCGUGGGGGAUAACGUAGGGAAACUUACGCUAAUACCGCAUACGACCUACGGGUGAAAGCAUGGGAUCUUCGGACCUUGCGCGAUUGAAUGAGCCGAUGUCGGAUUAGCUAGUUGGCGGGGUAAAGGCCCACCAAGGCGACGAUCCGUAGCUGGUCUGAGAGGAUGAUCAGCCACACUGGAACUGAGACACGGUCCAGACUCCUACGGGAGGCAGCAGUGGGGAAUAUUGGACAAUGGGCGCAAGCCUGAUCCAGCCAUGCCGCGUGGGUGAAGAAGGCCUUCGGGUUGUAAAGCCCUUUUGUUGGGAAAGAAAAGCAGCAGGUUAAUACCCCGCUGUUCUGACGGUACCCAAAGAAUAAGCACCGGCUAACUUCGUG
rnacentral:rRNA from 1 species